rnacentral:lncRNA from 1 species
UUCUUCUUCUUCUUCAUCGGUCUAGGGUGGGUUCCAGGCCGGCAGCCUGGGAUAGCAAGGAUGGACGUUGUUCUUCUUUUGCCGUUUAUUUUCAUCCGUAGUCGGACCCUGCUCUUACUCAUGAUGAAUAUGUAAUGUACUGAGGUGACUCUGAUGUAGCUUGUGGCGAGUGUAAGCCAAUUCUAUAUAUCUCUUCUUUUCAGUA